rnacentral:rRNA from 1 species
ACUUUCAACAACGGAUCUCUUGGUUCUGGCACCGAUGAAGAACGCAGCGAAAUGCGAUAAGUAAUGUGAAUUGCAGAAUUCAGUGAAUCAUCGAAUCUUUGAACGCACAUUGCGCCCGCCAGUAUUCUGGCGGGCAUGCCUGUUCGAGCGUCAUUUUC